CAUCAGCACAGGAAUACACAUGAAUUUCAGGAAGGAAAUGGAGCCAGAUUCUGCAAAUGAAAAGCCAGAGUACCAAGAAAAAACACAAGUAUUUGCCAAAUUUUGAUCAAUAUGGGUCUGAUAAAACAGCAGGUCACUGGAAGUUUUGAACUGUAGACUACAAAAGGAAGAUAUUGCUUUAAACCAAGGAGGCUCUGCAGAGAUGGCUGCUGUUUUAAAAAUCUUGGAGCACACUGUGUUGUUUACAGUGGGACAGUGAGCGGAAGAGCAGAUAGCAAGGAGCCAGUAGGUUCUGAAGUAAAGGAAAGCUGACAACAAUGUUCUGAUUUGCUCCUACCCAGGCGACCAUGGCUUGUGUGAAGGGAAAAGAGAAACAAAGGGAAAGCACAAAAAAAAACCUCUCUCUCCUGUGGAGCAGUACUGGAACAUCUCCAGUAAUGCCUAGCUGUUCCACUCAACUUUCUCUUUAAAAACUCUGUCAAAGGAGCAAUAACAUUUGAUGGCAGUGACGGAAUAAAUUCUCAAUCAAUAAAUGAAAGAGUGCAUUGAUGUGCAAAUAUCCUUGUGUCAACUGCAAAGAACUAAAGAGGACAUGAGAUAGAGAAUUCUGUGGUCCAUACUGGUGUUGUUGAACAGUGUUUCUAUGGUCUGUUUUUCUUUUAAUAUCCAUUUCUUGUUUAUCUUUGUGUGAAUGUCUGGUUGUGGAAGACAAGAAUUUAAGAAGGGGUAGAGUUCUAAGUCAGUAAUUCAUCUUUCCUAAUUGUUAUUGAUUAAAGAUAAUUUUUUUUUUUUUGUUAAGAACAUAAACCUGGUGAGUGUUUUCUUUUAACUUGCCUUUGUCAGUCAGGUUAAUUAGGGACUUUGGAUAAUUUGACUACACCUUUGCACAUUUGUUAUGGCUUUGAAAAUAAAGAGUUUGAUUUCUAGUGGACUACCCCAGUGAGUUGUGACAAAAAGUAACAGAGAGGCU